CCCUUAGAUGUUCGGGGCCGCACGCGCGCUACACUGAAGGAAUCAGCACGUCUUUCUCCUCGUCCGAAAGGACUGGGUAACCCGCUGAACCUCCUUCGUGCUAGGGAUUGGGGCUUGUAAUUCUUCCCCAUGAACGAGGAAUUCCCAGUAAGCGCGAGUCAUAAGCUCGCGUUGAUUACGUCCCUGCCCUUUGUACACACCGCCCGUCGCUACUACCGAUUGGAUGGUUUAGUGAGAUCCUCGGAUUGGUCCCGGAGCGGCCUCUGGUCGUGCCGGAGUGCCGAAAAGAAUGUCGAACUUGAUCAUCUAGAGGAAGUAAAAGUCGUAACA
rnacentral:rRNA from 1 species